UAUGCCUCUUGAAUAACCACACGGUGAAACAAAGAAAUCCUGUUUGGUUCAGACAGAGGCGCAUAUCAAGUGUCAAACCGCCGAAUUCGUUUGAGGGUAUGGAUUGCUUUCUCUGCAUCCUUACCUAGAUUUAUUCGGACAUCC
rfam:Lupinus angustifolius cultivar Tanjil contig_23737, whole genome shotgun sequence.